rnacentral:rRNA from 2 species
GAUAAACGUUUGCGGCGUGCCUGAUGCAUGCAAGUCGAACGCCCCAAUUUUUCGCAAGAUUGAUUGGGGAGUGGCGAACGGCUGAGUAACACGUAAGUAACCUGUCCCUAAGUGGGGGAUAACUUGCCGAAAGGCAGGCUAAUACCGCAUGUGCUGGUAAGCGACAGCUUAUCAGUAAAGCUUUUGCGCUUGAGGAGGGGCUUGCGUCUGAUUAGCUAGUUGGUAGGGUAAUGGCCUACCAAGGCGAUGAUCAGUAGCUGGUCUGAGAGGACGACCAGCCAGACGGGGACUGAGAUACGGCCCUGACUCCUACGGGAGGCAGCAGCAAGGAAUUUUGCGCAAUGGGCGAAAGCCUGACGCAGCGACGCCGCGUGGGGGAUGACGGCCUUCGGGUUGUAAACCCCUUUUCUAGAGGAAGAAAUCUGACGGUACUCUAGGAAUAAGUCUUGGCUAACUACGUGCCAGCAGCCGCGGUAAUACGUAGAAGGCGAACGUUAUCCGGAUUUACUGGGCGUAAAGCGGGUGUAGACGGUUUUUUAAGUCAGUUGUGAAAUCUCCUAACUCAAUUGGGAGACUGCAAUUGAUACUGGAGAACUUGAGGGCAUCAGAAGAAAGCAGAAUUCACGGUGUAGCGGUGAAAUGCGUAGAUAUCGUGAGGAAUACCAGUGGCGCAAGCGGCUUUCUAGGAUGCUCCUGACGUUGAGGCCCGAAAGUGUGGGGAGCGAAAC